rnacentral:rRNA from 1 species
CUAAUACCGGAUAUUAUCUGCCGAGGCAUCUUGGUGGGUGGAAAGCUCCGGCGGUGCAGGAUGAGCCCGCGGCCUAUCAGCUUGUUGGUGGGGUGAUGGCCUACCAAGGCGACGACGGGUAGCCGGCCUGAGAGGGCGACCGGCCACACUGGGACUGAGACACGGCCCAGACUCCUACGGGAGGCAGCAGUGGGGAAUAUUGCACAAUGGGCGAAAGCCUGAUGCAGCGACGCCGCGUGAGGGAUGACGGCCUUCGGGUUGUAAACCUCUUUCAGCAGGGAAGAAGCGCAAGUGACGGUACCUGCAGAAGAAGCACCGGCUAACUACG